UGUAUAUUCACCUAUAAUGAGGACAUGUUUUCUAUAUACUAAAGUGCUUUGUUGUCCCUGGGGACAUUACCAACAUUAAUUUAUAGGAAUAUCUGAAUAUAUUUGUGUGCACUUUUCUGUAGAAUCUAUUCUCUGUCAUCCAACUGCUAAUUAUCAAACAUUAUUUUUUAUUUUUAAAACUCUAUUUUUUUCGAUAGUGAAUCUUUAUGACGGCUUUAUCUAAAAUACAAUCUCUUAUCCACAAUCCCAGGGACUCGCCGCCCACCCUUGCCACCCAGACCUACACCCCCACGAAGAAAACCUUUACCACCAAAUAAUGUCACUGGAAAGCCGGGAAGUGCAGGAAUCAUUUCUUCAGGCCCAAUAACUAUACCACCCCUGAGGUCAACACUCAGACCUACUGGAACUCCCUUGGAGAGAAUAGCAACAGAUAUAAAGCAACCAACAGUUCCUGCCUCUGGAGAAGAACUGGAAAAUAUAACUGACUUCAGCUCAAGCCCAACAAGAGAAACCGAUCCUCUUGGGAAGCCAAGAUUCAAAGG
rnacentral:sRNA from 1 species